rnacentral:rRNA from 1 species
UACGGGGGGGGCAAGCGUUGUUCGGAAUUACUGGGCGUAAAGGGUUCGUAGGUGGCCAACUAAGUCAUACGUGAAAUCCCUCAGCUUAACUGGGGAACUGCGUCUGAUACUGGUUGGCUUGAGUGCAGGAGAGGAACGCGGAAUUCCAGGUGUAGCGGUGAAAUGCGUAGAUAUCAAGAGGAACACCUGAGGUGAAGACGGGUUGCUGGGCUGACACUGACGCUGAGGCGCGAAAGCUAGGGUAGCAAACGGG